CCUACGGGAGGCAGCAGUAGGGAAUAUUGGGCAAUGGAGGCAACUCUGACCCAGCCAUGCCGCGUGCAGGAAGAAGGCGUUAUGCGUUGUAAACUGCUUUUAUAUAGGAAGAAAUAGACCUUGCGAGGUAAGUUGACGGUACUAUAUGAAUAAGCACCGGCUAACUCCGUGCCAGCAGCCGCGGUAAUACGGAGGGUGCAAGCGUUGUCCGGAUUUAUUGGGUUUAAAGGGUGCGUAGGCGGUUUAUUAAGUCAGUGGUGAAAGACGGUCGCUCAACGAUUGCAGUGCCAUUGAUACUGGUAGACUUGAGUGGGAUUGAGGUAGCUGGAAUGGAUAGUGUAGCGGUGAAAUGCAUAGAUAUUAUCCAGAACACCAAUUGCGUAGGCAAGUUACUAAGUCUCAACUGACGCUGAGGCACGAAAGUGUGGGUAUCAAACAGGAUUAGAUACCCUGGUAGUCCACACUGUAAACGAUGAUAACUAACUGUUGGCUUUCGAGUCAGUGGUACAGAGAAAUCGUUAAGUUAUCCACCUGGGGAGUACGCCGGCAACGGUGAAACUCAAGAUAGUGCGNGNGAGAGCGACGACGACGACGACGGAGGAGGAG
rnacentral:rRNA from 1 species